rnacentral:rRNA from 1 species
GGGGAAUAUUGGACAAUGGGCGCAAGCCUGAUCCAGCCAUGCCGCGUGAGUGAUGAAGGCCCUAGGGUUGUAAAGCUCUUUUACCCGGGAAGAUAAUGACUGUACCGGGAGAAUAAGCCCCGGCUAACUUCGUGCCAGCAGCCGCGGUAAUACGAAGGGGGCUAGCGUUGUUCGGAAUCACUGGGCGUAAAGCGCACGUAGGCGGAUUUUUAAGUCAGGGGUGAAAUCCCGAGGCUCAACCUCGGAACUGCCUUUGAUACUGGAGAUCUUGAGUCCGGAAGAGGUAAGUGGAACUGCGAGUGUAGAGGUGAAAUUCGUAGAUAUUCGCAAGAACACCAGUGGCGAAGGCGGCUUACUGGUCCGGAACUGACGCUGAGGUGCGAAAGCGUGGGGAGCAAAC